rnacentral:lncRNA from 1 species
UCAAAAUACCCGUGAUCCUUCUCAGCCAUUGGAUUUUGAAUUUCAAAAUCAUGAACAUAAACCCUACUUCUUUACCUAUAAAUACUUGCAUUUGGAAUAUAUUGGGUUUGAGCUUUUGGGAGCCGUUACACCUCUCUUUAAACCCACAAGCUUGAACCCCUUCUUUAACCUUUAAGCUCUAGGCCGUCCCUCUAUCCCCUCUAAGUCUAAGCUUCAGCCACCAUUUUACUCCAAAAACUAAUGGUUGCCCCCCCCCCCCCCCUUUUCUAUCUCCGUUCACCCUCAGUGGCUAACUAUUCAAAGCUUAUCUUCUUUCUUGCUCUCUUAAAAUCCAGCUUUAAGUUUUCUCUGCUUUUUGACCUCUAUUUAGUCCAUAGCAUUGUCAAAGCUUUUAUUAUUAUUUUUGUGUAAGCAUUUGAUGAUCUUCCGAAAGAGCUGAGCCAAAGCCGGAGAUCCUCUUGACGACGCCCCGUUCACUGCCCACAAAAAGGUCAGUAACUUCGAAAUCUUUCUUCUAGACUGUAUUUGAAGAUCUGAAAUGUUUGUUUGUUUGUUUUAAAAAUCUCUUCUCCAGUUUAUUUUCCAUUGUAAAUUCGUUCAUGUAUGAAAUCAUGCAAGACUAUUUUUUUCAUUAUCUCUUAAUUAAGUAAAAUAAAGUGUCGAUGGUCAUAUGAAUAUAUUAGUGCAUUAGUUGCCCUCUUCAUGGUUGUCUUUUAGUAAGUAUGAGUUAUAUUUACGUUAAUAAUUCAUCCUAUAUGAUCUGGACAAUGUUUCCUUCUGUAGAGUAUUUCUUUUGUGAAAUAAGUGGUUAUAUUACUAUUUGGGAAUUUAUGGAUAUUAGCUUAAUCUUACUGUAUAAAUUGGUUAAUUAGAAGCUAUGUCCAUAGAAUUUAGAAUUUCUCACAAUGAUAUAGACUUUAGCUAACGGAAACGCAUGUUAUUGUGAAAUGUUGGUAUACGAUUAUAGAUCCUUUUAUAAUUAUUGACGCCGUUGCUUAACUUAAGAAUUAAAGGGGUUUAUACUUGAAACUUCAAAAUAAUUUUUGAAUCACAUAGUUGCCCAUGCAUUUUAGUAUUAUCUAUUAUAUAUGGGUAAUAUUAGUUUCAUGAUAGCAUGAAUGACGGUAGUAAUAUGAGAUAAUAAGCUAUGAGUGUGCUAAUAACUUAUUUAGAUAAUUUGAACAUCAAUAUUACUUGAAGUGAUUCUACUUAUUAUUAACCUCUGCUCUUUAGCACUAAAGAAAAAAUAGAUUUUUUCUCUUCCUAAUUCUUGGCUUAUUUAUUUCUUUUGUAUAUGUAUUUGGAGCAAAAUAUGGAGUCUAAUACAAGACUCUCCCAUUCUCGAGCAUGGAGUCAUCACAUGGCAUCUUCCUUAGAGUGCACCCGAUAGCAAGAAAACAAGCGAAAUGCUUGGGGCGCCUAUGGCGUCGUUCUUAUCUUCUCUUUAUUUUACGAUUGUUUUAUUUAAUUUCUUGAUGUCUCCUGGUUUAUUUGGUAUUUAUGUUUAUCUCUCGCUUAACAUGGAUUUGAAGAUUGAGUCUAUUUAAUUAUCUCUUCUUUAGCUAGCAAACAGGGUACCUAUUUUAUCAUAUAGUGUUUACCUAGACUUCUAAACUUCAAAAAUAGUAAUUUGACACUUUCACAAGUCAUUAAAAUGAAGUUUUUCAAAAGAUCUCGUUAACAUCUUUUCUAACAUCAUCAAGUUGAGAUUUUAUAUAAUUAAUAUGCUGAGUGUUUUCUAAAAGUUCAAAUGAAAAUUGCUUUUCUUUACCAAGUAGGAAGACUUGUCUCCAGGCGUUCUUCCUUUGAGAGUUAUUUUAAAUUAUUGCUUUCAUCAUGUUAAAACUGAUCUAUAAAAUAUUUUCCUCAAAUCGUUAGUUUUCUUAAGGGACUUAAACAUUUUCCUUAAGAUAUAAGUAGUUAAGUUCCACAUAAGUUAGCUAAUGCUGAAAUCGAAUACUCUCUUGUUUUCUAUCGAGUUAUAUAGUUAGCUAUAGAUUGAUACUUUAGCGUAAUAUUUUUUAUCAAUUAACCUAAGUUUGGCUGGUUAACCAUAUUUAAUGGGUCAUAUAGAGUGCUUAAUACCUUCUCUAUAAGAUCAAUUAGAACCUUUACUCGUAGUCUUGAAGGUUAAGUAAACCAUAGAACAGAGUUAACUUUAAGCACUAUUUAGCUAAAAUUGAUGUCCUAAUUCACCGUUAAAAUAAUUAGGUGGUGACUCUCUUUAAUUAAUUAAACCUCAAAAUUACCAAUAUGUUAUACUCUGAUUUGACCCGUGUUAAAAUGGAGUAUAACAUGUACUUGCUUUCAAUUUUUGUUGCACUUGGCUGUUAUUUGUCCAUGUUGUGCAACUCUGUGAAAGACUUGAUAUUUGGGUUACUUUAGCACGAACUGAUUUGACUUAAAGUGCUAAAUUUGAAAGCAUGCCUAUUUUUUACUGAAAUUUGCUGAAAUAAACUGUAUUUGCAUAGCUCGUCACUGCUUCUCAGUUCCUUAUUUAUUUCUGUUACUUACUAAAUUGGAAGUACUCACGUUACUCUCUGCACCUUGUGUGCAGAUUCAGGUGAGAUCGAAGGCGGAGGUCGUUGAGUUCGUGCGCAGUUGACUGUCGGAGAUCUACGAGGUAGUUGUCGGCGUCUGCAUCCCUUGUCUCUCCCUCCAGAGUUAUCUUUUCUUUUUGUUUAGUACUGGUGGACUAUUGUAAACUCUAAUUCUAGACUAGUUUUAGAUGCUCAUGACUUAUGAAACCCCGAUGUCGGGCAAUCUUUUCCGCAUUUUUAUUUUGAAUUCAACUCUUUUAUGAUUUUUCUAUUAUGAAAAAGCUUUGACUUAAUUUUAAUGAAAUAUCGAAGUAUUUUUGAAAGGUGUCGGCUUGCCUAGUACCACGAUAGACGUCAUCACGACAGGUUAGAGUUUUGGGUCGUGGCAUAGAGGUUACAUAACUCUCGAGGGACAUGGAGAGUUGGAGAAGAGCAUUCCGCAAUUGGUGAAGGUAUCCGCAAAUAGAGAGAUUAAUCAUCAAGUGCAUAGUUCUUCAACAAGGGAGUGGUCAACGGAGUUCUUCCUGGAGAUCAACCUGAAGUAACAAAGUACUGCUCAACGUUAUUGGCGAUUGAAUACAUCACAAGGAGGUCUGCAUCAUCCUACAUUCGAGAAAGACGCUUCUCAAGCCCUCGAAUCACGAAGAAUUUCAUAGAGGAGAAUCAAGGGAUAUAGAGAAUUGUACUCA